rnacentral:ncRNA from 1 species
CCCACAUCCGCAGCAGGUCUCCAAGGUGAACAGCCUCUAGUCGAUGGACCAAUGUAGGUAAGGGAAGUCGGCAAAACGGAUCCGUAACCUUGGGAUAAGGAUUGGCUCUGAGGACUGAGCCGGUCGGGCUGGGGACCUGAAGCAGGAACGGCACUGCACCGGGACUGGGCGGGGCUCGCCGUUCACGCGGCGCGGCCAAGCCCGGACCAGCGUCGGGACCUUCCUGUGGAAAGCCUCAGCUGCGCGGCGUCUGAGGGCUUCGUGCCCAAAGUGCUAUGCUUCGGCCGGCAAAAAAACAGUCAACUCAGAACUGGCACGGACCGGGGGAAUCCGACUGUCUAAUUAAAACAAAGCAUUGCGAUGGCCGCUGGUCGGUGUUGACGCAAUGUGAUUUCUGCCCAGUGCUCUGAAUGUCAACGUGAAGAGAUUCAUCAAAGCGCGGGUAAACGGCGGGAGUAACUAUGACUCUCUCGACUGAUCAACGAACUGGAUUUCGACUACAGGCAGCGAGCUUUCACCCCUGUAGACGGAUGCGCAGAAAACGUCUUCCUGUUGGCCUCCGUUCUGGAGGACGCCAAGCAAAAGCUCCGGCCGCUGCACAUGGCAAGCCUGGACCUGUCCAAGGCUUUCGACAGGGUGACGACAGAAGCGGUCCUCAGGGGUGCUCGCCGAGCCGGACUCGAUCAGGGGUUCCUCGACUAUCUACAGGAUCUGUACGAGGACUCCUGGACCAAACUGACACUAGAGGGUUCAUCCAGAGUGGUACACCCCACAGUCGGCGUGAGGCAGGGAGAUCCGCUCUCCCCACUUCUCUUCAACCUCGUGGUGGACGAAUUCCUCCAAACACUGGACCCUGGUAUUGGGUACAGCUCCGACCAGCUGCAACUGGAUGGGAUGGCUUUUGCGGAUGACCUGAUAGUCUUCGCAUCCACCCCGGAAGGUCUGCAGAGGAGAUGGACAGCCUGCACUC